rnacentral:rRNA from 1 species
ACUCCUACGGGAGGCAGCAGUGGGAAUAUUGCACAAUGGCGCAAGCCAUGAUGCAGCCAUGCCGCGUGUGUGAAGAAGGCCUUCGGGUUGUAAAGCACUUUCAGUCGUGAGGAAGGUAGUGUAGUUAAUAGCUGCAUUAUUUGACGUUAGCGACAGAAGAAGCACCGGCUAACUCCGUGCCAGCAGCCGCGGUAAUACGGAGGGUGCGAGCGUUAAUCGGAAUUACUGGGCGUAAAGCGCAUGCAGGUGGUUUGUUAAGUCAGAUGUG